GUCCUUAUAGCUCAACGGUAGAGCAGGAUACUGUUAAUAUCCGUAUAAGUGUUCAAUUCAUUUUAAG
rnacentral:tRNA from 1 species